CUACGGGGUGCAGCAGUGGGGAAUUUUGCGCAAUGGGGGGAACCCUGACGCAGCAAUACCGCGUGAGUGAAGAAGGCCUUUGGGUCGUAAAGCUCUUUUCUGAAGGAAGAUAGUGACGGUACUUCAGGAAUAAGCACCGGCUAACUCCGUGCCAGCAGCCGCGGUAAUACGGAGGGUGCGAGCGUUGUUCGGAUUUACUGGGCGUAAAGGGCACGUAGGCGGCCUGGCAAGUUAAGGGUGAAAUCCCGGGGCUUAACUCCGGAACUGCUCUUAAAACUGCCAAGCUAGAGAUAGUCAGAGGCGGGUGGAAUUCCUGGUGUAGAGGUGACAUUCGUAGAUAUCAGGAGGAACACCGGUGGCGAAGGCGGCCCGCUGGGGCUAUUCUGACGCUAAGGUGCGAAAGCGUGGGGAGCGAACGGGAUUAGAUACCCGGGUAGUC
rnacentral:rRNA from 1 species